rnacentral:rRNA from 1 species
UACGUAGGGUGCAAGCGUUGUCCGGAAUUAUUGGGCGUAAAGAGUUCGUAGGCGGUCUGUCGCGUCUGCUGUGAAAACCUGGGGCUCAACUCUGGGCGUGCGGUCGAUACGGGCAUCACUUGAGUUCGGCAGGGGAGACUGGAAUUCCUGGUGUAGCGGUGAAAUGCGCAGAUAUCAGGAAGAACACCCGUGGCUAAGGCGGCUCUCUAGUACGGUACUGACGCUGUGACGCGAAAGCGUGGGGAGCGAACAGG